UGUGCACCCUAAAGCACAAGCACACGCCGCAUAUAUGUAUGUAUGUAUAUAUAUAUAUAUAUAUAUAUAUAUAUAUAUAUAUAUACUGCUGUGUGUGUUUGUGCUGUGUGAGGGUGCUGG